AAGUCGUAACAAGGUUUCCGUAGGUGAACCUGCGGAAGGAUCAUUACCGAGUUAGGGUCUCUCAAUGAGCCCGAUCUCCAACCCUUGUGUUAACUAAACCCUGUUGCUUCGGCGAGCCUGUCUUCGGACUGCCGGGAGUUGAUUUCAACUUCGGGCUCGUUGCUCGUCGGUGGCCCUUUACAAAUUCUUGAUAUAACUAUGUCGUCUGAGUACUUCAAUUUAAUUAUAAAUUAAAACUUUCAACAACGGAUCUCUUGGUUCUGGCAUCGAUGAAGAACGCAGCGAAAUGCGAUAAGUAAUGCGAAUUGCAGAAUUUCAGUGAGUCAUCGAAUCUUUGAACGCACAUUGCGCCCUUUGGCAUUCCGAAGGGCAUGCCUGUUCGAGCGUCAUUAUCACCUCUCAAGCCUGGCUUGGUGUUGGACUCUCGGUCUGUGACAAGACCGGUCCCAAAGACAAUGACGGCGUCUGUUGGACCCUCGGCACACUGAGCUUCUAACCAAGCACGUGUUGAGUUGCAAGGUCCUACGGCACGGUCUUCUCAAUUUUUUUUAUCAAGGUUGACCUCGGAUCAGGUAGGAAUACCCGCUGAACUUAA
rnacentral:rRNA from 1 species